rnacentral:rRNA from 1 species
AACCAGCCUUGAGAUGAGGUUUCUCAUAGCAUAAGCUAGUAAGAUCCCAUGUAGACGACAUGGUUGAUAGGCCAGGUGUGGAAGAGCUGUGAGGCUUGGAGCUGACUGGUACUAAUAGAUCGAGGGCUUUACUUAAUAACA